rnacentral:rRNA from 1 species
CCUACGGGGGGCAGCAGUGAGGAAUAUUGGUCAAUGGACGAGAGUCUGAACCAGCCAAGUAGCGUGAGGGAUGACUGCCCUAUGGGUUGUAAACUUCUUUUAUAUGGGAAUAAAAUGUUCCACGUGUGGGAUUUUGUAUGUACCAUAUGAAUAAGGCUCGGCUAACUCCGUGCCAGCAGCCGCGGUAAUACGGAGGAUCCGAGCGUUAUCCGGAUUUAUUGGGUUUAAAGGGAGCGUAGGUGGAUUGUUAAGUCCGUUGUGAAAGUUUGCGGCUCAAACGUAAAAUUGCAGUUGAAACUGGCAGUCUUGAGUACAGUAGAGGUGGGCGGAAUUCGUGGUGUAGCGGUGAAAUGCUUAGAUAUCACGAAGAACUCCGAUUGCGAAGGCAGUUCACUGGACUGCAACUGACACUGAGGCUCGAAAGUGUGGGUAUCAAACAGGAUUAGAUACCCGAGUAGUC